UACACCAAACUGCUGCACUCCAUCACAUACAGUCGGUUCAUCAAGUCACUGUAUUCUUACUGCAACUUGAGGCUUGCAGUUCAUGGAGGAAUUUAGCACAGCCUAUUUGUUUUAUUCUACAGAUUGAUUCACUGAACAUAUAUACCUGCUUAUGAGAAUGCCAAUGUAGCAAUAAAACCAAGAACAUGGCUGCAUCAUCAUCAGGAAGAGAAUUAGAGGAGAGCAAUCUCACUUUGUUUCCAAGGCCUCCAGGUGAUGAUCUUACCCAGACAUCAAGGUUCUCAAUUACUGGCUGGUUCCGCAAGGGAAAAGCAGAUUCCCAAGGUUCCAAGUCCAGUGACAAAAACCCUGGUAGCCGACCCAAGGAUCUACCAAUCAGGAAGUCCGUACUAGAACACAAACAAGAAGAAGAAGAUCUAGAGGCUGAGAGAGAAGCUCCAACCAACACUGAAAGGAGAUCGUCUGAUGGUAGAUUGAAACCCGAAGGUCAAUUAAGAGGUUUACUUCCUCGAAGCCUGUCUCCUUUGGUCGGUGGUGGGUCAAAGAAGGAUCUGGACCAGUCUUUGUCCAAGUCCAGAGGAUAUGAGUCCAGUGUAUCAGCACCGGUGGUCAAUUACACUCGGAGCUUGACCACUGUCCUUAAGCACCUUAGUAGUUUGAUUGAGAGGAAGGGACAGGAUCCUACAACCUAUUCAGACAGCAGUCUGCGACAGUAUUGGAUGCCAGACAGUCAGUGUAAAGAGUGCUAUGACUGCGGGGAAAAGUUCACUACGUUUAGACGGCGCCACCAUUGUCGGGUGUGCGGACAGAUUUUCUGCAGCCGCUGCUGCAAUCAGGAAGUUUCAGGCAAAUUCAUAGGAUUCAUUGGAAACCUUCGGGUCUGCACCUACUGUUGUAAGGUUGUGCUGAGCUAUGCUCAGUCGGCUUACACUGGUGACCUCAAAGCCCUACAGGAGGACCUGAUGACCGUUACUGAGGCAAACACACCGAAUUCGGAGGAUGCCGUGCUGACACCAAGAAAGAAGUUCUUAGGAUUCAUGGAUGAAGAUAUGAGAAGAACAAGUCGAGCAAUGAGUGUUGGGAGUGUGGACGCUCCUUCAUCCUCUAAUCUCUUUGAAGUCUUUCCUGGUCUUACCAAUUCAACUGAUUCACAAGUAUCCAUUGUUGAAAAUCAAAAGCUAUUGAAUUCGGCACAACUUCGAGAUCUGUGGGUCCUGAUAAAGAAUCCCAACAAUGGAAUAAUGUUUCAGAAUCAUCGUUACCGUCUACGGACCUAUCCUGAUUGCAUCAUCGGUAGCGAGCUUGUUGAUUGGCUCAUUCAAAACGACAAAGCUGCUCAAAGAGUACAAGCUGUGGCCAUUGGUAAAGCCUUGCUAGAUGCUAAAUGGAUCAAGUGUGUUACAUCAUCCUACCAGGAAGGUUUCGUUGAUGGAUAUGCCCUCUAUUGUCAAGGAGAGUUAGCGGAGAGUCAGGACUUACUCGCCCCCCAGGGCAGUGAGUCGGAGAAUCCCGUCUUUGGAGAGUUCAUGGAACCUGUAUGGUUCAGAGAUAUUCAUCAAGAUGAUGACAUCAACUCAGAGGACGAUCUGUUAGACCGCAAAUCAAUGAAUGAAGCAGUCAUCAUCAGCCUUCCCGAAUCGUUGCCUUCGAUAGACCAUCCAACGGAGGAACAGGACGGGAGCGAUCAGUCUCGCCAAAAAUACAAUGCUUCCCCAAUACCGACCUUCAAAUUGGAGUUAGAUACAGGAACUCAUGAUGGUGGACAGAAGGAAGGAUUGGCCAAUGGUCAUUGGGAAGUGACCAAUCAAGAGAUCUCCGUUCCUCACACCACAGAUUCCCUUACAGAUAGUUUUGGAGGGACCUCGGCGAUAAGUCAACCAUCUCCAGGCCUGUCCCAGUCCUUCCCCUGGAGCUACGAGAUGUUGGAGCCUGGUCUAGCCUGUCCAGAUACAACUGGGGACCUGGUCCUGGAAUCCAUUAGGACUGAAGCUAACAAGAUCCUUGUUGCUUUCUUGGACCAGCAGCUCCAGCAUGAAGGACUAGACCCAAGCUGGGCAGAGAAGAUCCUGCCUCUUGCCAAGAAGAUAUGCUCAAUGGUCAAACCCAAUGUUGCUGAGGGUGAUGUAAUGGAUAUCAGAUACUAUGUCCACAUCAAGAGGGUCCCAGGAGGCAGUAGAUCUGAAUGCUGUUUGGUCAAGGGUGUCAUCUCAACCAAGAAUGUGGCACAUAAGAAGAUGUCACAGAAGCAAAGUAAUCCUCGGAUUCUUCUAUUACAAGCAGCCAUUGAGCAUCAGAGAGUACAGAAUAAGUUAGCUUCCCUGGAACCUCUAGUUCUUCAGGAACAUGAAUACCUCAAGAACUGUGUAUCUAAGAUCGUUGCUCUGCGUCCGACUGUCUUGGUCGUAGAGAAGUCUGUUGCGAGACUCGCUCAAGACUUCUUAUUGGCUUGUGGAAUCAGCCUUGUACUCAAUGUGAAACCUCGUGUGGUGGGUAGGAUAACCCGGCAGACUGAAGGUAGCAGUAUUUCCUCCAUCGAUCAGGUUUCUGCAGCUAAACUGGGCACCUGUCAGAACUUCUAUCUUCAGAGGUACACCCUACCCGGAGGUUUCACAAAGACUUUGAUGUUCUUUGAUGGCUGUCCUGGUCAUCUAGGAUGCUCGGUUUUAUUACGGGGAGGAGGCAUUGCAGAACUCUCUAAGGUGAAGAGAGUGCUGAAUCUGAUGGUGUAUGCCGUCUAUCAUUCUCGUCUCGAGACCUCGUACCUCAAGGACGAGUUUGCCAAGCCUCCUCUGACCCCAUCCCCCGCAGGAAGCCCACCAAACUCACCACCAUCACCCAUGGGACAGACACCUGGACGACAAGCUAUGAAGGACACAGGAACCUUCCAUGAAGUCAUCAAGGCUGUCAGGAUUGAACAGGCUUUGAUCAGGAAACCUGCAGGAGUGGACAACCCUGCAGGAGAGGUAGAGACAGGCAUUCCUGUCCUUGCAACCCCUCCAUCGAGUCGGAGAGGAUUCAAAGCCACAGUGCAGAAGCUUCUGAUGGGGAAGGGGAGUGAUGGAAGUGAUCAUAGUGGGAGUAGCAGUGCCGCCGGUAGCAGGAGAAGCAGCGAUGGCACUGUGGGUAAUGAUCGGACAGGAGCUGUAGGAGUAGCAGCUAAAGAAAGUAGCAAAGAGAUGCCAAGUGGGGCUGCCAAGCUUCCUCAUGCAAGCACCUAUCCCAGCUUCGAUGCAGCAAUAGAAUCUGAAAGCCUGACAGUAGAUGCAGAAGGUACUGGAACACCCAAAAAACAUGAUGAUGCUACAGUGGAAGGUAUAUCACGAAUAGGUGCCGACUCAAGUUCUAGCCUCAGUGCAUCAGAAAAUGGACUUCUCCAAGAAUAUGUCCUUGUUGACGAGAGUAAACAUGAUCAUAAUGCCAUUUCUCAAAGUGACUCGAUGGUUGAGAAAGGUGGUGAGAUUAAAGUGAAAGACUAUCAGGUUAAGAAGAUCAGCAGCAAAGAGGAAGAAGAGAACGUCUUCAGCUUUGAUGUGAAUAGCAAUGACAGUGAGGCUGAGGAAGCUAUGGAAUCACUGGACUCAACAGACCCAUUAAAAUCAUCCAGUGAAGACAGUCCAUUAGAGAAGGAGGACAGAGAAAGGUUUUCCAGGGCCUUCAACAACACUAUUCUGACAAUUUCACCAUUUCUGGCAUUUCCUGCACCUUACUUUGAAACCGAAGAAGGGAGGCAGUCCCCAAACCGACACUUCUUUCCACAGAAUGUCUUCUGGUCUCCUAAGCUCCAAGACAACCCAGGAGAUGUCUCUCAGGCAGUGGAGGCACACCUGGAAGAUGACGAUCCUAAAGACGAUGUGGUUUACUGGUCGACAGAUCGUUGCACCCACAAGAUCAGCUCCAUGGGCUUAGCACAUCCCCACCCAUUCACUUUCCUGCAGCUGACCGAAGACUUCUGGUCGGAAUCCACCAGGACUCUUCUCGCUGACUUCCGUGCCCGCGGAGGGCGCUACAUCCCAAAGGACCAAGCUUCUGUCCACACCCUUGCUCAGAAAUCCCUCAUGAUUCCUCAUGAACACAAACCAAAGCAACAACAGAACGCAAACCAGCAAUACCUGCUAGCCAGGAAAGGCAACAAUGACACCCAAGAACAUCAGUCUAGACACCCUGUCUAUGACUGUCUUGACCCCUACCAUCACCAGAAGAUUCUUCUUCAGUUCAGCAGCUACUCGCAUCACUCAGGAAACAUGCCAGGUCACUGUAUCCACCCUUGGAUGGUUACCAUGGAAUUCUAUGGCUAUAACGAUAUCACCUUAGGCAUGUUCCUCGAUAGAUAUUGCUUUAGUGCCAACUAUCUGUGUCCCAGUGAGACCUGUGACACCCUGAUGGCUAAUCAUGUUAGGAGGUUCGUUCAUGGUAAUGCAUCAAUCCAAGUCCUUCAGAGACAGCUAGAUAGUCCUGUUCCAGGGUACAAGAACAAGGUCCUCAUGUGGAGCUGGUGUCGAAGAUGUAAACAGGUAACGCCUGUUCAGCCUAUGUCACGGGACACCUGGCACAUGUCAUUUGCGAAGUACCUCGAGAUACACUUCUAUGGGAAGGAUUAUGGUCGUCAUGGUAGCUCGUCUCCGUGCUGCCACUCUCUGCAUCAUCAUCACUAUCAAUAUUUUGGACAGCACAACAUGGUUGCAUCAUUCAAAUUCAGUCCCAUAAUUUUAAGAGAGAUAGCUUUCCCACCUCUUCCAAUCAUGAUAGACCAGCCGUUCAGAGCUCAUAAAAGCUACUUGGAGGAGAGCAAAAGUCUUGCCAUUAGAGGGAAUCAGGUGUUCCGUGGUAUUUUUGGUAACAUAUCAAGUCUAACGGUUGGCAAACUAAGUCAACUUCUUGAGCAGAAAGAGCAAGAGUUCACCAGUCAAUAUGAGACGGAUUACAAUCGCUUCAAGCAGAACAUGGACGAAGUGGAAACAAAAGUGAUGUAUGUGGAAAAGUGGAAAGCCAGCCCUGACAAGAAAAAAGAUAGCAGUGGGAACGACUGGAGCGAUUUCUGUCUCGAGGACCAGUUACUUGACAUUGAAGACUCCAUCGUCAUUGCUAAGAGAUGCUUGGCUGAAAUCAACUUUGCCUGGAAUACAAGAUUCCAUGAUUUUCUCCAGCAGGAAAAGGAAUUGGAGAAAAUGAGAAAGAGCUUAGGCCGCAAGCCAUCCGGUGAUGUAGAUACCCCAACGCCAACAAAACUGGAGUCUAAAACUGCUUUUCCUUUUGGACUAACACCCCCACUAACACCCAUGCUUACAAUGGAACAGUCCAGUCCUGUGUUCAUCAGCCCAUCUCAGCUGACCCCUUCCAUUACCAAGACCGGGGGGUUAGCCCUCAAACACCUGGAAACACUCCAUGAAAGAAAGAGGGAGGAGCUACAGGGUCGCCAGAGAGAUGAUAGUGAUGUCUCCAUGCUCGGUGACAUUUCUUUGACCUCCGAUAAGGCGGCAAGGUAUUUUGAUUAUGGUAUCUCACCGGGCCUGGUUGCUGGCCUGGAAUAUAAGCCAAGUAACCAUACGGAUUCUCCACCACAACAUGCUAAUGAUAACCACGAGCCAUCAGUCCGAGGAUCUGUGAACUUCAGCCAAGGGUCCCCACAGACAGGACCUAGACUAGGUCCAGUUCCAGGACCAGCGCCUUCAGUAGCCCCUAACAAUAAGAGAGACGUCGAGAAGAGUUGCGAGACCGUUUAUUCAAGCAGUCAGCUGGCUGCCAAGAGCUUCGUUGUUCAGGAUGAUAGCUCUCAACUGAAGGAAGAGAUAAAAGACGAGGGGAAGGACAGAGAGAAGGAUACAGGGAUGGAGGAUAGUGAGAAGGGCAUCCCCUGUUCUACUGCUGACGAACCAGUGACCUCUGUGGCAUCAUCCUUCACCCAAUCCUUAGAUGUGGUCGAUGGUAGGAGUCCAGCUAAGACCAAGCCAGGAGCUGUCAAAGGCUUUCUCAAUCAGUUCUUGCAACCCACUGGAUCUACCCAGAUAGAAACACCUUUCCCAGCCGAUGAGCAUCAUACUCUCCCACCGUGCAGUGUCAUACCAAUCAUAGUCUAUGACAAGGAGCCUAGUUCAAUCAUUGCCUAUGCACUCAGCUCGGAACAAUAUAAGACCAAGCUAUACGAGGUACAGCAGUCCCGCUGCGGCUCUGGUCGUUUGUCCCCAGGAGGAACAUCGCUAGGGUCAGCCCAGGGGAACAGUAACCCCGAAUCAGGACAGAGCAGUCCUCAUACCAGAAGAAAGGCUGCAGGGGAUGGAAGGAUGGGCGGAGGACCCGAGACCAAAGAUCUGUCACGUAAGAUUGGACAGUUAAAACGUCGCAUCAGUCAGGGGUGAUGAUGUUCCACCGGACGAAGACAUCGAGUGUGGGCGGGGCAAACCAGGGUGCCUCUAAAGAUGGUGGACCCUCUAUUACCAUAGACGCUGAAGACGAUGACUCACAAGAGAGGCUGAACCCAGAUGACAGGCUGGAUGAUCUACCAUUGCCUCAUAUAGAACUACAAUUCUCUGAUGAAACCAGCACGCAGUUCUUCUGUGGUGUUUAUUUCGCUGCUCAAUUCCAGGAGCUGCGGAAGAUCAUCUUCCCGGUCGGUGAGGACGUCUUCAUCCGGUCUUUGUCUCGU
rnacentral:misc_RNA from 1 species